rnacentral:lncRNA from 10 species
AGGCUCUCCUUUUGUGCGCUUGGAGCAGCAGACUGAUCUCCCAGCCUUCACUCACUUCAUGUGGUAAUCUGUUGUGUUCAUCACUGUCAGAAUCUUCUGCAUCCCCUCACUACUCUGCUGAAAACACUCUAGUGGUUCCUCAUUGCUCAUUAAUGAAAGUCUAGAUAUUAAACGUAGAAGGCCCAGCACAAUUUGCCCCUAUGCCACCUACCUCUCUAAUCUUUUCUCCUUACUCUGACAGACUCUCCGUCUGUCAUUUAUGUAUUCUUUUAUUGCUCUCUUCUACUUUUAGUAUGAACUGGAUUUAUGGAUUUUUUUAACAUUGCUUUCAAGUAUGGAAUAAAGAAUUUUAUUUAUUUAUUUAUUUAUUUAUUUGAGACUGGGUCUCACUCUGUUGCCCAGGCCAGAAUGCAAUGGUGCAGUCAUAUCUCACUGUAACCUCGAAUUCCUAGGCUCAAGCCAUCCUCCUGCCUCAGCCUCCUAAGUAGCUAUGACUACGGGUGUGCAUCACCACAUCUGGCUAAUGGAAUAAAAUAUUACAAUGCCUAAUCUUAAUUUUCAAAAUUUUAAAUUACAUUGUACCUAAUGCCCAUGCAUUUACUUUUUUCAGUGGGUCAAUAGCCCUCACUUUGGCAAAGGUCCCAGGCCCAAGGUAAGGCCUUACUUUUUCCAAACUCAUCUUUUGAAAGACAUAAGUGCCUGUAAGUUGUACCACAUUAGGUUCUAGGAAUUUUUCAUCAAAGACUUUAUCAGACUAUUUUCCUCUAAGUUGAGAAAGAGCUGGGGGCAGAAUAUGGCACUGAAUGACUGAAGAGAAGGCACUGAAAUCAGGCCAGAGGUUGCUGGAAAGAGCAAUGAGGAACACCAGCAGCAAUGAGGAGCCGGUGAUGAUUUUGGCUUCACAGGGAGGUGUGUACCACACCGAUUUUAUCUCUACGUGGAUGAACCACAGCUGUCGGCUCCCUUGUCUCCAGGACAUCACACUCUCCACAUUCCCUCCCAUCUUCCGGCUUCUGCUUCCCGGGG